rnacentral:rRNA from 1 species
GACGAACGCUGGCGGCGCGCCUAACACAUGCAAGUCGAACGGGACUAUUUUGGGAGAAGUUUUCGGAUGGAUCUCGGGAUAGUUUAGUGGCGGACGGGUGAGUAACACGUGAGCAACCUACCUUCGAGAGGGGAAUAACGGCUGGAAACGGUCGCUAAUACCGCAUAACAUACUGGAGGGACAUCCCUUUGGUAUCAAAGAUUAUAUCGCUCGGAGAUGGGCUCGCGUCCGAUUAGGUAGUUGGUGAGGUAACGGCUCACCAAGCCGACGAUCGGUAGCCGGACUGAGAGGUCGAACGGCCACAUUGGGACUGAGACACGGCCCAG